rnacentral:misc_RNA from 1 species
UGCUUUUAUACCCAGGUUAAAAGAUUCCUUUUUUUUUAAUUUUCUCCCUCUCACAUGAUUUCAUUCCCAUUUUUCUGAGAAAGCAUUUUGGUUUUUCUCCCUUUGAUUUGGUGGGUAAUGGUGAAUUCACUGUUGGCUUGCACUCGCAUGUACCCAUUAGCAUGAUCUCUAUAGUGAUGAGAGAGAUGGAGUGGUGAUUUUGAUUUGAGG